rnacentral:sRNA from 1 species
AUUCUGCCCAAGCGGGGAAGGAUGAGAAGCUUCGACCAAGGUUCGACUUGAGCGCCAGCGAGAGAGCGUUGCCGCAGGCAACGACCCGAAGGGUGAGGAGCGAAGCGACGAAUAAUCCUUCCCCCACCACCA